AUUGAACGCUGGCGGCAGGCCUAACACAUGCAAGUCGGGCGGAUGAAGGGAGCUUGCUCCUGGAUUCAGCGGCGGACGGGUGAGUAAUGCCUAGGAAUCUGCCUGGUAGUGGGGGAUAACGUCCGGAAACGGGCGCUAAUACCGCAUACGUCCUGAGGGAGAAAGUGGGGGAUCUUCGGACCUCACGCUAUCAGAUGAGCCUAGGUCGGGUUAGCUAGUUGGUGGGGUAAAGGCCUACCAAGGCGACGAUCCGUAACUGGUCUGAGAGGAUGAUCAGUCACACUGGAACUGAGACACGGUCCAGACUCCUACGGGAGGCAGCAGUGGGGAAUAUUGGACAAUGGGCGAAAGCCUGAUCCAGCCAUGCCGCGUGUGUGAAGAAGGUCUUCGGAUUGUAAAGCACUUUAAGUUGGGAGGAAGGGCAGUAAGUUAAUACCUUGCUGUUUUGACGUUACCAACAGAAUAAGCACCGGCUAACUUCGUG
rnacentral:rRNA from 1 species